rnacentral:misc_RNA from 1 species
UUUCCGUAGGUGACCCUGCGGAAGGAUCAUUACAGAGUUCAUGCCCUCACGGGUAGAUCUCCCACCCUUGAAUAUUUAUACCUUAGUUGCUUUGGCAGGCCGUGGAAACACCAUGGGCUCCGGCUUAUGCGUGCCUGCCAGAGGAAACAAACUCUGUUUUUAGUGAUGUCUGAGUACUAUAUAAUAGUUAAAACUUUCAACAACGGAUCUCUUGGUUCUG